rnacentral:lncRNA from 1 species
CACCAUGCAUCUCCAGGAAGAGAUCAAGACUGGAAGCAUAGUUCUUACCAAACCACCCUCAUCUCUCUGUCUUUGCUGCCUCAAUACUGGGGUUUGAAUCUAGGGGUGUAUGAAGACUCAGAAAGUGCCCUACCACUGAGCUGUAUCCCCCACCUUCUGAACCAUAUCGAACAAGAAGUUCCUGGACAGGUGUGGUGAACUCAAUGGCUGAACUACAUCUGAGGGCCCAGAUUCUGCCCUGUCAGAGCUUCUCGCCAUCCCCAGAGUUCUCCCAAAGUCUCAUUCAGUCUGAACUGAGAAACACGUACACCUAAAAC